UCACACCACCCACCAGAGGCAGUGAGAAAAAGAUGAUGUGGGGCAAGUGGACCUGUGAAGAAAGGUUCUUUGGAGCAACUCCUGUUUGCAUUUUCAGGAAAUCAGCAGUCCAGUUGAUAGUUCGGCAGCAGCAGCUCAGUCCACUUGCAAACACUUCCUGGAUACACCAGAAGUCCAGUUUGGUGGUGUCGGGAUAGUAAACUCAAAUCAGCAGCAGUGGCAGGAACAGCUAGGCCUCAGCCAAAUCAGCACGAGGGCCCAGGAGGUAUGCCAGAAGUUCUCUGCUGUGCCUCUCUCAGCAAAGCUGGGAUCCUUGAAGACUUGAGACCAACAAGCACUGUACAGCCGGCUGCAGCAGCAAGCCAACCUUCACUGUCCAGCCAGUCCUAUUUACACUCCCUCCAAAUAUCCUGAGUCCUCCAUGGGUCUUGCCACAGCACAUGUCUUGCCUCAGUGCGUGGGUCUGUCUCAGCUUACAUCACUUUGUCAAUCAGCCUGAGUCUGUGGAGUCUGCUUUAGCAAAAUGUCCUCUCACCUGUGUCUGCUUCAGGAAAACACUCCCUCACAUGUUUGCCCCAGCAAACCCCCAUGUGACACAACUGACUUUCCAAAGAACCCUUAAGUUUCCACUUCACUUGACACUCUUUUGAAACUCAUUAUCCAUUCUGCUAUCCCAACAGCAGCGAUUGUUGAAAAAAUUAACCAGCACGCAAUUGCUUUUCUCACUUAUUUAUACUCGUGAGCUCAAACACAUUUGUUGGAUGUUUGCUAAGUGUGCUGUUACCUUAAAGGAACCCCGUGCAAGGUGAGCAGACUGGACUACUGUUGCUGCUUUCUUGUGCUCACAUCCUGAGGUAAGGGAGGCAGGACUUGUCCACCUGCCUGUGGUGACUGCAGGAGCCUCCUGAGCAAGAGCUGCAUUCUUGGCAGGAGUGGGGCUUCUGGUCUGCAUUUCUUUACCUUUCGGAGACCUCAGGAGAUCUGGCGGCGGAGACGCAGCACCUGCAUGGAACAGUAUAUGGUACGAAUGCUUUGGGACUCUGCUUUGGCAAGGCCCACGGAAACCCCUUUCCACUUGGUGAGGAUCUGUGGGGAAUUUGGUGGCCUCUAUGUAUAUUCCAUAGGUUUCAUGUACUACAAUCCUCUCUUUACUUUUGCCAUGCUGUCGAUACUCAUAGCUAUAUUUAAUUUUAGUUUGUUGGUCAGAGGCGAGAGCGGGAUCAUUCAUGCUAAAAGCCUUGUGUAUGAUUCUGUUUUUCUCAAUUGUGUUGAGAAAGCCUCCUCUCUUCUCUCUGCCUGUAUAGAUUCUCCAGAUGUGACCAUUAAUCCUGGGUAUUUUGGGACACAUAAUUGUAUUGCUGGAGCAAUAGCCACAGUCACACUGAGUAAGCCUCUGGUGGUUGUGGAGAGCAGUAGACUCUGCUUGCCUGUUCUGAGGAAUCUAAUCACGUGAGAAUUUGCAUGUUCGGGCUCUAAAGGAAGCCUGCCCCCAGUUGGCUUUGAUUGGGAAUAAAGUGGCCAAAGGUGACUGGCUUGGCAUGGUGAAACAAGCAGGAGUUUUAGAUUGCAUAGGUAAAAACUGAGGUAGAAGGAGGAGAAGAGAAUUGCCAUGGCUCGGGGGCAGAAGGAUCAGAUGUAAGAGCUGCAAGAGAGAAGUCAUCCAGCAAUGUAAGUGGAAAGGGAAAGCAGCCCUAUAGGUGGGUGGGUGGACUGCUCAGAAGGUCACAGGGCAACAAAGAUAAAAUAUAGAUUUAGAAAGUGUGAAGCAUGGAAUACUGGAGGGGAGUCUGUGAUAGCCCUGGGGAGGUUUAGAAGUGACCCAUUAAUAUAAAAUUAGCUGGUGUGUGUGUAUGUGUGUUUCAUUUUCGAAUCCAGAGCUCUUGGGCAGGUGCAACGCACGGGCAACCUGCCUGGAGCCAAAGCAGAUUAACAAUUCACUGCUACAGCUAUGCAUCAUCUACAGAAAUUAAACGCGGUUCCUGGAAAGAUGAUCUCAGGAAUUGAUAGGCGCUUAUCAGGAAAGGUCGCUGAGAACAAUGAGUGUCUUUCUACAAUUAAAAAGUAUUAGAGUAUUGUGACACAGGGGUGAUAUGUGAUAACUGGACAUAUACCCCCAAAUGUUUAAUCUGUCUCUCACCUUGCAUGGACCUGAACCUUGUUGCUGGACCUGGCCAUUGGCAGAAAUCUUACCGGCCAUAGAGGCCAGAGCCCAUACUCACUGUGUCCAGAGACUGUAUGUUGGUAUUCCUUCUCAGAUGGGAAGGGGUCCUGUGACUUGGGAGCCAGGGAUCCACACAGUUCUCUGGUGGGACAGAAUCCUAAUGGAAGGGUAACCUGAAACACAGAAGCCCUGGAACUAAACAGUUCUGAUGUGGGGCAUUGUUCUGAUGGAAGAG
rnacentral:lncRNA from 1 species